rnacentral:rRNA from 1 species
UCGGUUGAUCCUGCCGGACCUGACUGCUAUCGGAUUGAUACUAAGCCAUGCGAGUCAUUGCAGCAAUGCAAGGCAGACGGCUCAGUAACGCGUAGUCAACCUAACCUAUGGACGGGAAUAACCUCGGGAAACUGAGAAUAAUGCCCGAUAGAACACUAUACCUGGAAUGGUUUGUGUUCCAAAUGAUUUAUCGCCGUAGGAUGGGACUGCGGCCUAUCAGUUUGUUGGUGAGGUAAUGGCCCACCAAGACUAUUACAGGUACGGGCUCUGAGAGGAGUAGCCCGGAGAUGGGUACUGAGACACGGACCCAGGCCCUAUGGGGCGCAGCAGGCGAGAAAACUUUGCAAUGUGCGAAAGCACGACAAGGUUAAUCCGAGUGGUUUCUGCUAAAGGAACCUUUUGUUAGUCAUAGAACCACUAAUGAAUAAGGGGUGGGCAAGUUCUGGUGUCACCGCCGCGGUAAUACCGGCGCCUCAAGUGGUAGUCGCUUUUAUUGGGCCUAAAACGUCCGUAGCCGGUCUGAUACAUUCGUGGGUAAAUCAACUAGCUCAACUAGUUGAAUUCUGCGAGCACGGCCAGACUUGGGACCGGGUGAGGUGUGGGGUACUCUCAGGGUAGGGGUAAAAUCCUGUCAUCCUGAGAGGACCACCUGUUGCGAAGGCGCCACACUAGAACGGAUCCGACGGUCAGGGACGAAGCCUAGGGGCACGAACCGGAUUAGAUACCCGGGUAGUCCUAGGUGUAAACGCUGUGGACUUGAUGUUGGGAGUGCUCCGAGCACCCUCAGUGUCGAAGCGAAGGUGAUAAGUCCACUGCCUGGGGAGUACGGUCGCAAGGCUGAAACUUAAAGGAAUUGGCGGGGGAGCACUGCAACCUGAGGAUUGUGCGGUUUAAUUGGAUUCAACGCCGGAAAACUCACCAUAGCCGACGGACAAAUGAAAGCCAGCGUAACGAGCUUGCUGGAUUGUUCGAGAGGUAGUGCAUGGCCGCCGUCAGUUCGUACCGCAAGGCGUUCUGUUAAGUCAGAUAACGAACGAGACCCUCAUCCCUAUUUGCUAAGGUCAGUCCGCUGAUCACAGGACUAUAGAGAGACCGCUGGCGCUAAGUCAGAGGAAGGGGAGGGCAACGGUAGGUCAGUAUGCUCCGAAUGCUAUGGGCUACACGCGCAAUACAAAGGACGGGACAAUGGGCUGCUGCUCCGAAAGGAACGAUAGCUAUCCCGAAACCCGUUCGUAGUUCGGAUUGAGGGCUGUAACUCGCCCUCAUGAAGCUGGAUUAGGUAGUAAUCGCGUCUCAAAAAGGCGCGGUGAAUAUGCCCCUGCUCCUUGCACACACCGCCCGUC